AUUGAACGCUGGCGGCAGGCCUAACACAUGCAAGUCGAGCGAGCGGCGGACGGGUGAGUAAUGUAUGGGAAUCUGCCCGAUAGAGGGGGAUAACUACUGGAAACGGUGGCUAAUACCGCAUACUAUCGGAUGAACCCAUAUGGGAUUAGCUAGUAGGUGGGGUAAAGGCUCACCUAGGCGACGAUCUCUAGCUGGUCUGAGAGGAUGAUCAGCCACACGGGGACUGAGACACGUCCCAGACUCCUACGGGAGGCAGCAGUGGGGAAUAUUGCACAAUGGGCGAAAGCCUGAUGCAGCCAUGCCGCGUGUAUGAAGAAGGCCUUAGGGUUGUAAAGUACUUUCAGCGGGGAGGCGUUACCCGCAGAAGAAGCACCGGCUAACUCCGGGCCAGCAGCCGCGGUAAUUC
rnacentral:rRNA from 1 species